ACUCAAAUGAAUAGACGGGGGCUCACACAAGCGGUGGAGCAUGUGGCUUAAUUCGAGGCUACGCGAAGAACCUUAUCCUGGGCUUGACAUGUGCGAAAGCGGCAGGAAGUAGGCUGCGGAAACGUUAGCCGAACGGUAUCCAACCCGGAACCUGCUACAGGUGCUGCAUGGCUGUCGUCAGCUCGUGUCGUGAGAUGUCGGGUUAAGUCCCAUAACGAGCGAAACCCCUGUCCCAUAGUUGCGACCAGGUCAAGCUGAGCACUCUAGGGAGACUGCCGGUGUCAAACCGGAGGAAGGUGGGGAUGACGUCAAGUCCUCAUGGCCUUUAUGCCCAGGGCUGCACACGUGCUACAAUGGCGUGCACAGAGGGACGCAAGACCGUAAGGUGGAGCAAAUCCCAAAAAACACGCCUCAGUUCAGAUUGAAGGCUGCAACUCGCCUUCAUGAAGCUGGAAUCGCUAGUAAUCGCGGGUCAGCAACACCGCGGUGAAUGUGUUCCUGAGCCUUGCACACACCGCCCGU
rnacentral:rRNA from 1 species